rnacentral:rRNA from 1 species
UACAGAGGGUGCAAGCGUUAAUCGGAAUUACUGGGCGUAAAGGGCGCGUAGGCGGCACUGUUAGUCAGGCGUGAAAGUCCUGGGCUCAACCUGGGAACUGCGCUUGAUACGGCAGAGCUAGAGGAUGGAAGAGGGUCGCGGAAUUCCCAGUGUAGAGGUGAAAUUCGUAGAUAUUGGGAAGAACACCGGUGGCGAAGGCGGCGACCUGGUCCAUUACUGACGCUGAGGCGCGACAGCGUGGGGAGCAAACAGG